rnacentral:snoRNA from 5 species
UGGACCAAUGAUGGCAAAGUGUUUAUGAACAAAGGAUCAUGAUGAAUCCAGUUCUGUGCAAAAUACUGAGGUCCAUU